rnacentral:rRNA from 1 species
UACGUAGGGGGCGAGCGUUGUCCGGAGUUACUGGGCGUAAAGGGCCCGCAGGCGGUCGGGUACGUUUUGGGUAACAGCGUCGGGCUCACCUCGACGAGCGCCUGGAAAACGGCUUGACUUGAGGGUCGGAGAGGGACACGGAACUCCGGGUGGAGUGGUGAAAUGCGUAGAGAUCCGGAAGAACACCGAAGGCGAAGGCAGUGUCCUGGACGACUCCUGACGCUCAGGGGCGACAGCUAGGGGAGCGAACGGG